CGUCUCGGCCCCGCUUCCGGAACGGGCUCGCGGAGUGCGAGUCUAUGGUGUCGGCGACGGCUUGGGUAGUUCCGUGGAGAGCGUGGGGAGUGGCGUGGGCCCCUGCGCGGCGUGGGCGGGGCUGCGCGGCGUGGGCCCCUCCGCGGCGUGGGCCCCUCCGCGGCGUGGGCGGGGCGUGCUCCCCGCCGCGCUCCUCACCCGAGCUCCCUAGCUGGGUCAACUCUGCUGGACCGGUCCGGACGACAGGCUCUGAUAGGCUUCGUCUUGGGCGGUGACCUCUUGACUGCCCGUCCCUUUAGACAGGAAGUGAGCAAAUGCUGUUGGAAAAAUGGUGCCAGUAGACUUGCCCAACACAUGGGUGCCACAAAUCUUCAAUUUGUAGAAGUGCGGUAUCUGCGAAGCACAGUAAAGUGAAGUGCAAUAAAAUGAGUGUGCCUGAUGUUCUUGUAAGAAAAGGAAGUUUGGACCCAGGUGCAGAGGGAAGGUGGUAUGAAGAUACAGUGAGAAGACAGCCAUCUGAAGUUAAAGAGAGCGGUCUCACAACAACCCUUCCCUGCUGACAUCUUGAUCUCAGAAUUCCGGCCUCCAGAAUUAUGACAUGAUUGUGUGUAGAAAUUCCUAAGGAAUCUCCAGAACUUACGUUAGAGCUAAUGAGUGAAUUAAGAAGGCCACAGGAUGCAAGAUCCUGAUGGAAAGCACGCCUUUCUCACGGGUUCUUUUUGAGGAUUAACGGAUAAUGUGUACGGGGCCUGGCACAUCGCAGUUCGAAGCAGACAUCAGGCACUGAGAAAACUGCCGUUCUUCCAUGAUGUUCUUGUGGAUGGAUGUCCUGGUCUGAAGAUCUGAGCCCCAUUCUUUUUCUGAUGCCAGUGUAAUCUCAUUGUGGCUGAAGCCUGGCUCUGGGUUAGGAAAUAGUUUUCCAUAUUUAAGAACAGUGCCCCCGGGACAUGCCUCGACUUUAUGAACUCAGCCAGAGCUCCUCAUAUGAGAGUCAUAAAGGCCGUUUUGACUCAAACCUAUAUUUCUCUGGGCUUUAAGGGAGGACUACAUAAACUUUAACUUGGCUGUGCAGGUCAGGAAAGUAAAUGUCAUCGCAAGCCUCCAUUUAGAAUCAGACUUUAUAUUUACACCCUCUCUGUCAGAGUAAAGUACAUAGACGCAGCAAGCCAUGCUUACAGUGCAAUCAGUUUAAUGGGUUUCUACAUUCUAAUAAAAUAGCAAACGUUGGCAGCGUCACAUUUUCUGACUUACACCUGUCAACGUGAAUGCAUCACAGUGUUACCCUCUAGCUUCACGUUAGAACUUUAUUGCAUCAUUUCACACAAACCCCCAAACCCUUUAUUUGUUCAGUCAGUUGUGCCAACAUAAUCGAGAGAGAGAAGCAGACAGAAAACACAAGGCUGGCCUCGGUGUGACUCUGAAAGUAGUGGCCAUUUAACCCCACACCACGCCUGUGUUUUUUUGGAAAUUCCCCAAAGUGGUAGACUAGGGAGCCUGACAGAGGGGAUUCCAGAGUUUGUCCUGAAUGGGACAGUCCCUCGUUUGCUCGGCAGGCUGGAGCACACGUCCUGGGAAAGCCGCACCGGGGGCCCUGGGAGACCCUCCCAACCUCAGCAAAGAUGUAGAGGCUGUGACGUCCUAGGAGCCAUGAGAUAGUUAGAACAUAGGGUUUGUGCCAGAAUUCCCCAAGGCAGUGGCUACAGAGUUACCUUUGAGACUGAUCCUCUCCUCUGAAAAUGGGAUACGAAGGCACUGCGUUUUGUAAACAAUUUCCAGGUUUCAAGGUCUCUGAAAAGUCCACGUCCUAAGCCUCUAAGUUUGUAUGCACAGCCCACCCCUUGGGCACCUGCUGAUGCACCGUCCCUGCUCUCGGGGAACCGGGGCUGGCGCUUCGCAGGUUAAGAUAUUUUCCACGUCAGUGCUGUUCACAGCUCGGGAAGGUGUUUGUUACCACCGAAAGCUGCAGAAAUAAAACGCCAGUUAACAAGGAUUAAGCUCACCUUAAUACCAGAGGAACCUGAGGAGAUGGGCUCCUUCAGCCUAUUUUCUCCUCAAGCAGACAGCUUUUUCAAACCAUCACAGAUGGAUGUGCAUUUUCUUCUCAAACGUACCCUAAACCCAGAAGGCCACGCUCCAGCAUUUUUCUCAAAUCACUUUUUUUGAAUGAAAUCUUUUCUCUUGUAUUUGAAGCCAUUUGUUCUUCCUCAGUUCUCUGUAAGCACUUAAACAUGCUGACUAGGACUUCCCUGAAAAACUCAUUUGUCAGCAGACUCUGAUGUGCACUUGGUGGUUAAAGACCACAUAUCUCCAAGAGCAGGGCCCCGUGUGGCUGACCCUAUAGCCCCCGUGCUUUUCCUUCUUUAGCUCUGUUCACUCCUGCCAUCCCCACCUUGCACGGAGAUCUCUGAGAUUUUGAGUGUAAAGUGCAUUUCCUCGUACAUCUCACAAAGGUGAGAGUGUAUU